CCCUUAGAUGAUUUGGGCUGCACGCGCGCUACACUGACCCUACCAAUGAGCAACUGUCUGGCCUGAGAUGGCUGGGUAGCCUUUUCAACCCAUGUCAUGAUUGGGCUAGAUUUUUGUAAGUCUUGAUCUCUAACGAGGAAUCCCUAGUAUGUGUGAAUCAUCAAUCCAUGCAGAUUAUGUCCCUGCCCUUUGUACACACCGCCCGUCGCUCCUACUGAUUGGGUGAUCCGGUGAGCUGUUCGGCCAUAGCAAUGUUUCUUGAGCAGGGCAAUGAAUGUUUCGCAAACCUUGCCACUUAGAGGAAGGAGAAGUCGUAACA
rnacentral:rRNA from 1 species